rnacentral:rRNA from 1 species
CCUACGGGUGGCAGCAGUGGGGAAUAUUGCGCAAUGGGCGAAAGCCUGACGCAGCGACGCCGCGUGAGGGAUGAAGGUCUUCGGAUCGUAAACCUCUGUCAGCAGGGAAGAACGGUCACUGUGCUAAUCAGCAGUGAAUUGACGGUACCUGCAAAGGAGGCACCGGCUAACUCAGUGCCAGCAGCCGCGGUAAUACGGAGGGUGCGAGCGUUAAUCGGAAUUACUGGGCGUAAAGCGCUCGUAGGCGGUAUGUCAAGUCAAGGGUGAAAUCCCCGCGCUCAACGUGGGAACUGCCUUUGAAACUGGCAAACUGGAGUGUGUGAGAGGAUAGUGGAAUUCCAGGUGUAGGAGUGAAAUGCGUAGAUAUCUGGAGGAACAUCAGUGGCGAAGGCGACUAUCUGGCACAUAACUGACGCUGGGGAGCGAAAGCGUGGGUAGCAAACAGGAUUAGAUACCCCGGUAGUC